rfam:Blumeria graminis f. sp. hordei DH14, WGS project CATH01000000 data, contig: 013264
UACCUGGUUGAUUCUGCCAGUAGUCAUAUGCUUGUCUCAAAGAUUAAGCCAUGCAUGUCUAAGUAUAAGCAAUUUAUACCGUGAAACUGCGAAUGGCUCAUUAAAUCAGUUAUCGUUUAUUUGAUAGUACCUUACUACUUGGAUAACCGUGGUAAUUCUAGAGCUAAUACAUGCUAAAAGCCCCGACUUCGGAAGGGGUGUAUUUAUUAGAUAAAAAACCAAUGCCCUCCGGGGCUCCUUGGUGAUUCAUAAUAACUUAACGAAUCGCAUGGCCUUGUGCCGGCGAUGGUUCAUUCAAAUUUCUGCCCUAUCAACUUUCGAUGGUAGUAUAUGGGACUACCAUGGUUUCAACGGGUAACGGGGAAUUAGGGUUCUAUUCCGGAGAGGGAGCCUGAGAAACGGCUACCACAUCCAAGGAAGGCAGCAGGCGCGCAAAUUACCCAAUCCCGACACGGGGAGGUAGUGACAAUAAAUACUGAUACAGGGCUCUUUUGGGUCUUGUAAUUGGAAUGAGUACAAUUUAAAUCCCUUAACGAGGAACAAUUGGAGGGCAAGUCUGGUGCCAGCAGCCGCGGUAAUUCCAGCUCCAAUAGCGUAUAUUAAAGUUGUUGCAGUUAAAAAGCUCGUAGUUGAACCUUGGGCCUGGCUGGCCGGUCCGUCUCACCGCGUGCACUGGUCCGGCCGGGUCUUUCCUCCUGGGGAGCCACAUGCCCUUCACUGGGUGUGUUGGGGAACCAGGACUUUUACUUUGAAAAAAUUAGAGUGUUCAAAGCAGGCCUAUGCUCGAAUACAUUAGCAUGGAAUAAUAGAAUAGGACGUGUGGUUCUAUUUUGUUGGUUUCUAGGACCGCCGUAAUGAUUAAUAGGGAUAGUCGGGGGCAUCAGUAUUCAAUUGUCAGAGGUGAAAUUCUUGGAUUUAUUGAAGACUAACUACUGCGAAAGCAUUUGCCAAGGAUGUUUUCAUUAAUCAGUGAACGAAAGUUAGGGGAGUCGAAGACGAUCAGAUACCGUCGUAGUCUUAACCAUAAACUAUGCCGACUAGGGAUCGGGCGAUGUUAUUUUUUGU